CAGACCGCGUGAGUUCGCUGCCGCCAUGUUCCAGUCCAGUAAAUUGCCUGCCCGGUUUGUGACCGCGAAGAUGAGCAUCUCCACAAGGCUGCGUCCUCGGGCUCGGGCUCCGUAUGGCCAACGGAAGGGCUUGGUCUCCCGGAUUCCCGGAUAGAAGCCAACAUUUGUGAUAAAGUUCCUUUCCGGACCCAUUUGGAAGGAUGCGAAAGAGCUGCAGAUGCCGUACCAGGAAGCGGUGCCAGUGAGAAGCAAGAUUCGGAUGCA